CGGCAAGAGCUCAAAUUUGAAAUCUGGCCCCUCCGGGGUCCGAGUUGUAAUUUGCAGAGGAUGCUUCGGGCGCGGUCCCCGUCUAAGUACCCUGGAACGGGUCGUCAUAGAGGGUGAGAAUCCCGUCUGGGACGGGUGGCCGUGUCCGUGUGAAGCUCCUUCGACGAGUCGAGUUGUUUGGGAAUGCAGCUCUAAAUGGGUGGUAAAUUUCAUCUAAAGCUAAAUAUUGGCCGGAGACCGAUAGCGCACAAGUAGAGUGAUCGAAAGAUGAAAAGCACUUUGAAAAGAGAGUUAAACAGCACGUGAAAUUGUUGAAAGGGAAGCGCUUGCGACCAGACUCGCCCGCGGGGGUUCAGCCGGUACUCGUACCGGUGUACUCCCCCGGGGGCGGGCCAGCGUCGGUUUGGGCGGUCGGUCAAAGGCCUCCGGAAUGUGUCGCCCCCCGGGGCGUCUUAUAGCCGGAGGUGCAAUGCGGCCAGCCUGGACCGAGGAACGCGCUUCGGCUCGGAC
rnacentral:rRNA from 1 species